rnacentral:rRNA from 1 species
AUUCCCCUAGUAACUGCGAGUGAAGCGGGAAAAGCUCAAAUUUAAAAUCUGGUGGUCUUUGGCCAUCCGAGUUGUAAUUUAGAGAAGCGUCUUCCGCGCUGGGCCGUGCACAAGUCUCCUGGAAUGGAGCGUCACAGAGGGUGAGAAUCCCGUCUUUGGCAUGGACACACCAGGGCUUUUGCGAUGCGCUCUCGAAGAGUCGAGUUGUUUGGGAAUGCAGCUCAAAAUGGGUGGUGAACUCCAUCUAAAGCUAAAUAUUGGCGAGAGACCGAUAGCGAACAAGUACCGUGAGGGAAAGAUGAAAAGCACUUUGGAAAGAGAGUGAAACAGUACGUGAAAUUGUUGAAAGGGAAACGCUUGAAGUCAGUCGCGUCGACCGAGACUCAGCCUUGCCUUGGCUUGGUGUACUUCUCGGCCGACGGGUCAGCAUCAAUUUCGCCCCUUGGAUAAUGAUGGGGGAAAUGUGACACCUUUACGGUGUGUUAUAGUCUCUUGUCGCAUGCAAGGGUCGGGAUUGAGGAACUCAGCACGCACCUUUGGGUGUCGGGGCCUUUGCCCACGAUACGUGCUUAGGAUGUUGGCGUAAUGGCUUUAAACGACCCGUCUUGAAACACGGACCAAGGAGUCUAACAUGCCUGCGAGUGUUCGGGUGGAAAACCCGUGCGCGUAAUGAAAGUAAAAGUUGGGACCUCUGUCGUGGAGGGCACCGACGCCCGGACCAGACCUUCUGUGACGGCUCUGCGGUAAAGCAUGUAUGUUAGGACCCGAAAGAUGGUGAACUAUGCCUGAAUAGGGUGAAGCCAGAGGAAACUCUGGUGGAGGCUCGUAGCGAUUCUGACGUGCAAAUCGAUCGUCAAAUUUGGGUAUAGGGGCGAAAGAC